GGAGAUCCCACUGCGUCACAAGUAUUAAUGCGCAUGCGCGACAUAGCUACACUGGUAAUGAGAUGUUAAUUAAUUAAAAUUGAUAAUAAAAGGCGAUAAGACGUUAAUAAUGAUCGAACAAACAAAGAUUAUGAAAGAACAAACGAAAAUGAAUAUUAAUUGAUUGAUAACAGGAAGAAUUGAAAUAACGAUAAGUUAAGGGGGGCUAAGUUGAGGUUGAAAAUUUAAUUAUUUAAUUAUAAAUAAACAAUAAGCGAACAAACAACAACAAUCGACGGACAAUAACGAACAAAUGACGAAAAAACGAUUGGAGCAUUGAAAAAUUAAAAAAGUGUGAAAAUCAAUAUUGAUGGGGGCCAGCUUCAGCAAGCCAACUUAGGCCAAGUGAAAGGAAAUGUAUUUAAAGUGAUUAAUAGUUCAAUGACAUAUGUAAACAAACAUAAGGGUUAGUAAAUAAAUAUUAAUUUUUAAUUGUUUAUAUAAAAAACAAUGUUGUGCUUGGUGAAAAACUGUUUAUUAAAGUAUGGAGCUUUAAUUGAUGGAUUAAAAUAAAUAAAACGUUAUUAAAAGUAGUAAUUGUGAUUUAAAAAUUUCUGAUCUGUAGCGUGCAGUGUUAAACGUGAAAUAUUAAUUAAAAGUUGAAUAAAAUUAAGUAAUUUCAAUUAAAGAGUAUAUACAAUCACAGACUUUAGGUUAAAUGUGCAUAAGUCUGAGGAAAAGUUCAAUUGGAGCACUUGCUAGUACUCUAGCUAAGUAUACUAUUUACGGAUACUACUGGUUAUAAGAUGUUAUAAGGUAGCUAGGACGAAUUCUAGAACAAAUUCACUAAGAUGAAAUUGAAGUUUUUGGUGGACUCUGGCUGAGGAUACUAUUUUUACAAAGACUGCUGGUUAUAAAGUAUUUACUAGUUAUGGUGAUUAUUAUCUGGGCAAAUCUGCUCGAGGCUGAUUGGAUGUUAAAUUGGAGCAUUACGUUGGAUCCCGGCUGAGGACUUCCUCUUCAUUGCGAGUACUGGCCAUUAAUUUAUGGAUGUACAGGCUACUUAAAAAAUUUCCCAAUAAAAUUUUCACGGAUUAAAUGAAGAAUUUAAUUGGAACACUCCAAGAGACUACGACUCAGGAUUUUGUUCGAUUUUCUCUGUUGGUAAUCGUACAUUUCUCCAUUAUGAUUUCAUUUUCCAAUAUAUUAAUUAAACAAAUUCCCUGAAUUCGUAUUAAAAAAAAACAAAAACAAAUAUAAAUCAAUUCGUACUAUUAGUAACAAUGAAGACUUUGUCCCUUGUUAAUAAAAAAAAAGUACAUAAAAAAUAAAUAUACUUGUUACUUACUAAUGUUCAAAAAUUUUAUUAUUCUAUAUAUGUAUGUAUUUUAAUUUAUAUAAUUAAAAAAGUAAUCAAUUAUUCUAGAGAGAUUAUUAAUUUUCUUCUAAAUUUUUGUGUUUAUAUUUAACUGUAUUUAACUGGAU